UUUAACUUUUCGUCUUAUUUAAAACUUUUUUAUUAAUAUUUUUAUUCUUAGUAGAUGAUAAAACAUGAAUAUUAUUUUAUGUGUAACUAAUUUUUUUUAAGUUUCUAUACAAAUUUUUCAAAUAAGACGAAGAAUCAAACGUUAGAUACGAAAA
rnacentral:pre_miRNA from 1 species